UCUCUCCUCUUUUUUUUUCUCUCGUUCUUUUUUUCUUUCUCUUCCCAGAGAGCAGGCUCGCCCGCACACCCCAGCACCUUCCUCGUCUCCGACCCUGCCGAAGCCGCACUGCGACUUUUUUUUUUUUCCUCUCCGACUCUCCUCCACCGUUUCCGACGACGACGCCUCUCUCGCCCUUCCCCGUCCUUCUCGUCCUCUCCCUCUCCUUUCUUCUCUGCUGCCUCCGACGACGACGUAUCUUCGC
rnacentral:lncRNA from 1 species